UCUUGGCAGCAGUCAUGUCUAUAAUUAAAGUUAAUAUUUAUUUAUUUUGCACAGGCAGGCUUUCCAUUAUCUAUGCAAAUUUCCAUUAUUUGGGCAUGAUCCAGUAGGCUUUACUAUUUAACCACGUAAAGAGACAAAAGGAUUAUUCACGGUAGCAUGUAUUUACCGCCACACUAGGAGACUGUGUCUCCAUAUCUGUUUCCCAGAUGCUCGGAUGCCUGGCACAGAAUAAGUACUUAAUAAAUAUCUAUUGAACGACAGACUGAAUUUAGAGGUUUUAAUUAAAUGACCAGUGAGUAUUAUUUUACAUGAUUCAUGUACUCAUGAAACAUAAACGUAAGGAAGUUAGAGAAUUUGAGAGAUAGAAGAGGCCUUGGGAAUAGCCGGAACUAGUCCUAAUUUAAUAAGUAUGGAGCAGCCUGACUAGGGGCUCCAGGGAAGUUAGGUCACCAGGGUCGCCAGUGAGGUGGCAAGGAGUUAAACCUAGUUCUGAUUCUCAGACCAGCACUUUCUACUAAAUUGGUGUUUUUCAAUCUUUCGUUCCUUGACACUCUUACAAAAUAGUACUUGUAUGCACAUUGGGGUAAUCUGCUAAUUUAUCACAAGCCCCUGGACUCUGGUUGCACCGAGACCCCACUUCGCCUCCCUGUGGGCUGAGGAGACUCUUUUCAGGGUUACCGGGUAAUAAGGUGAGAGGUUCUUGCUCUGGUAAUACCUUGGCUGUAUCAUGUUGUGCUUUAUGAUUCUUUCUUGAAACAUUACUGCAGCUUCUCUUUAGGAGUUGUCUUCAUAGAUUAUGGCGCUGUCUUCUGGUUGAUGGAAUAUUGUAAGAGUUAAGUGAGAUUAUAUCUAAGAACACUAAGAAAACCCCAAAACUUUUUUAUAAAAAUGGGAAGAGUGAGAUGUUGCCAUCCAGUUACAGCAAAUCAGUAAGCUGUUAUAAUCACCAUGGCAUUUAGAAAAUCUUUAGACCUAUCUCCAAAAGUAGUCGGUAGAUAUUUGACAGUAGUUAUUUAAUAUCUGAAGAAACUUAGAGCUGAACCAUACCAUUUGAUUUCUGGUUUCAAUUAAGCUGCUACCUUGAACACUUAGAUCCAACUUGCCUUCCUCUCUGUACUUAAUUCAAGGCUUUUGAAACUUCAAAAAUCACUUGAGUUUUGGAUGGUUUGUUAACAGUGCACAUUCUUGGACUUUAUCCCCAGAUUCAAAUUGAGUAUACCUGAGAUGAGACCUGGAAAACCACUUUUAACAGGUACCUGCAGGUGAUGAAUCUCAGGAUUUACUCUGUGUAGAUUUCAGGGUAGAUGUAUCUACUCCAGCUUCUCGGCCCUUCACUCAGGGACUGAAGGGAGUUCUGUUUGGGGUAGUGGUGAGGGUGUGGGGAGUUGAUAGGGAAGAAGAGGGAAAUAAAACUGGCUACUUAAAUUGUAUCCUUGCCAUCUCACUUGGUUCUCAGAGUUGUAUUUUUUCAGCUGUAUGCAUCUUUGGAGUUUAAGAGGAGGAACCAAGUUGUCUCUUUCAUUUGGAAGAGAGAAAUAUUACAGUCUUCAUCAUCCCAAGGUUAAUCUUGCAGUGCUGCUUUUAAAAUCAUGUGGCCCUAGAUCAACUACUAGCUGAUCUAAAGGUAAAACUUAAUGUUCUUCUCACACCGUUUCUCACCUCAAAUAGAGAAUUCUUUAUGUAAGUCUUUUCCUAUAAUAAAGUAGAUUGACAUUCACAUGAUUGACUAUAAUGUUUUUGCAUGUCUACAGUUGUAAAUAUGGCAAAAUGAAAUUAAAAUUAUGGCCUAGGCUAGUAUAUUUAUUUUAUUAAGGUCAGUAUCUCUUCUCUUUUUUUUCUUUAAUGGAAAAGAUAGUGAGGUCCAUGGUCAUUGGAUGACUUGUCCAAUAUUAGAAAUAAAUAUUGAAAGAACUGGGUUGAGGUUGCCUAGACCUAGAAGAGGAGGUACCGUUUCAAAACUUAGCAAAACACAUUUCUCAAAAGCCUUGUGGUCAAGUCAUAAAGUUAAAUCCUAAAAUGUACCCAUCUCUGCUGUGUAGCUGAUUAGUAGACCCUAUUAUCAGUACUAGUUGGAUGCACUGGCAGGGGCCCGUGUGCCGGGGUCUCCACUCUUGUGGGCGUUGAGGACUGCAGGGUGCUGCCUUUUCCCUCUUUCUCUUCCCCCGCAUUCUGAUUUGUUACUGCCUGCCCUCCACCUCACUCCCUUUGUGCUAUUUUUCCUUGCUUGGAGUUGGUGAAACUAAGUACAUUAAAAUUUCAAGACAUGUGAUGAAUAAGAAAUGAGUAGAAUCUGAGUUCCAAUCUACUAUAAUUUUAAACUACUUGAUAAAAAAAGAAGUGGUAUUUAAAAUCCCCAGGUGUGAAAAAUCUUAGUGUAUUUUUUACGGACAACUUUUCUUAAUGAUUUGGGGAGAAAAUCUCAGACAUACUGUGCAUUCAUAUAUAUUCUAUUUCAACAGUAAUUGGCAUUUGCAUUCAGUAUUAUGAAUUUAAACAUUUUAAGGCAAUAUAAUUAACUGGCUUAAUGCUUUCUACCAGUUACUUUGCACAACGUCUGUUGUUGAUUUCUUUUCUAUUGUGGAAAAAGGCAAUCCUUCCCCACUCCAGAUGAUGACCCAGGCCAGGGAACAUAGCAGAGGAAGAGAAAGAAUUUGUUACAUGUUUACCUCUCGCCCUUCCCCACUGCUUGGCUGGGGUACCUGAAAACACUUAGCACACUGUCUUCACAAGCUCAUCAGAAUAAAUAGUCUUGUACUUAUGUAUUUGUGUGCUAGGGAAAAUAAGUAUGCUAAAUACUAGGUCUUUUUAAGAAAAGAAUUAAAAACUAGAUUAACGUUUCGUAGAGUGAAUUACUUUGUAUGUUCCCACAAUUUGCGUUCAUUAAAUCUUUGUUCUGACAUUGCAUGUUUGAUUCCAAUAAUAAGCUCUCAGGUGUAACUAUUUAAAACUAGAUACUUUUAAUAGAAUGCAAGCUGGAAAAUAAAAAAAAUAAUUAUGAGAAGUCAUUGUCAGGUUACGUUGCAGAUACACUAUGAUUUAAUACAGUCUGCACUAUAUUUAUGAUUUAAUACAUUCAGGGUAAAACAGUACACAUUUGUGUCCUUCACUGCAGAUAAAUUGCCAGUAUUCCAAAAGCCAUUCUCUCCUUGACAUUGUGACCUAGUCAGUUCCUACAUUUAUGUAGCAAUUAUGUUCCAUCCCCCGCAAAAUCCCAUGGAAACAAUUACUAUACUGUGCCUGAAAUUAUAGUUGGGAAAUACCUUCUUAAUACCACCUAUCAGGCCCAAGUACUUGUUUUGAGCUACUAGCAGCAAUGAAAUUACAUCUCGUCUUUGACUGUGUACUCUGUACCUAACUUGUUAUCAUUGGUGGAUUAGACUCGAUCAAUUACUGAGUGUCCUGGAAAUGAGGUACACAGUUGUGUAUCAAAUGGUGAAAUAAUGAAAAUAGCCAAUGAGGAAAAAUUUUCUUCCACAUAUUCAAUAAAAAAUAUGAAUAAUUAUAUAUAUAUAUUAUAUGUAUACUUUCAUAUAUAUAUUUGAAGGCUAGUACAAAAAGCCUGAUUGAUAUGCAUAGUUUAGUUGUUCAGUACCUUUUAUUUCUAUUCAUAAGGUUGAUGAAAUGGGAAUAAAUAUUACAUUGGCUUAUUUCGUAGUUACUGCAUUACACCAGCCCCCAAAGAGAACAAACUGACCUUACGUGGUAAAAGCUUUUUAUUUAAAUUGAGCAUAAACAUUAUCUCUAACAAGAGAUAUGACCCAAACAGUAAUAAAUACAAAGGAAUAAAAUCUGUUAGCGUAGAAUCCUUAUUAAAAUGUGAUAUAUAGAUGGUGGUGGUCUGUAAUGUUUGGAUGGUAGAGAUGAACUUCUAACAUGCUCUCAGUAUCCGUAGCCACUGCGAUGUGCACAACCAUUGCGGCAGCUCCUGAAAACUUUCACGUGUUGUCCCGUGACACACAGGAGGGAUGCUCUCCAAAUGCCUGCCUGACCUUGCGUCACACGCAGUACUCCAUCUCAGCACGUGGCACUGUCAGCCCCAGCUGCAGGGUUGGAAUUUCCAAAAACCAAACCUAUGUCUGAUCCUGUGGUUGCCUGAACACUGAAUGACCCUCAGAUGAACACUGUGAGUGAACCUCAAAAACAAUGUAGAGCAAAACCGCCAGACACAAAAAGGUUCCCAGAGGAGGGAAAGAAGAGUCCAAACUUGCACUCACCGUGCAAGUUCCUGUUACAGUUAAGAGCCUACCACUCACUCACGGAGGCUGGCAGUGACUUCUAAACAGAUCACGUGUGUGAGUGAUCCCGGCCAACAGCUUUCUGUGUCAACUGAUGUCAGGUUUCCACUCCCCAUGGAGAAGCUGUCUCCUUCUAACAGUGGAUCUCGCUGUUGUCACAGAGCAAGCUGUGGCAGGUUUUUCUCAGCUCUGUGAGGUGGGUCAUUAUGUCAUCGUCCCCUCGUUACACCUGUGUUCUUUCUCUGGGUCCCUAAAUGUUACUUCCCUUCUUCACUCACUCACAGGAAAAUACUGUAAACAAACAUUAGCCUCACAAUAAGAGGAUUUUUUUCUUCCUAGACAAAUUGAAAUGUUUUAGACGGCAGAAAUAAAGGAAUUUUAAUGAAUACAGAGUGAAUACUUUCAACUUCUUUUUCUCCUUUCCCAGAAUGAAUAAGUAACAAUUGUAGGCCAACAUUUUAGAGUAAUCUAGCCAGGGGCAGGGCGUAUAAGCUUUUUAAGUAUGAAAUUAUUUUAAGCACUUCAUUUAUGGCGUAAAUUGUGACUUUUAUAUUGGGAUGGGGCAUAUGAGGGUAGGAGGUAAUGGAGGGAGAAGAAGGACAUGUUCUUGAAUUGUAUUUGAAAGAAGUGAUUUCCUCUAGCUGUCUUCUCUCAGCCCUUGCAAGGUCAAGUCUCUACAUGGGCAAAAAGAAGAUGAAAGGACAACACCGAAACCUUGUCCCAUGGAGCUGUUUUAAUGAAGAGCUGGUUUCUGCCCCAGCAGAAAUACCUUGGAAUGUGAGAGGUACAGAUGGAGAGUUCUAAAGAAGUUAUUGUCAACAUGUAGUGAUGAUUUGGGGAGAAAAAGGAGGAAAUGGGGAACUGUUUCCUCUGCAUGAGCCUAAUUUCAUUAAGGAGCUGUAACCCAAGGGAAAGACACAAAGCCCUCCACUUGCGAGGCUCUCUCCUGAGAAGGAAGGAGCUCCAAACACGAGCAGGUUGGUCACUGGGCCCCAGCUCCUUUAGACGCACGUGUUUCCUCAAGCAUGUGGUAUCCACAGGGAAUGUUUGUUGAAUGAAUGAAUGAAGGAAUAAUUCAAAGAGUAUAUUUUUGCCUAUUAUUUUAAUUAAAUACAUUUUAAGAACACUUAUUACACUUUAAAAUCUCAUAUUCCUUCUUAUUAUUACUAGUGUGAAACAUAACAAAGGAAAAUAUAAGCAAAAUGCCUUAUCUGUUGCCUUAAUUAUAAAGAUUCGUUGAUUCAUCAACUAAUAUGAAGGAGGAAAGCUUUGACUAAAUGAAAAAAAAUGCAGAUUAGUGUAACUUUUAACAAUUAUUAUAUUAAAGUAUGACUGAUUUUCUCAUAUUGAAUUCAGUGCUCAACAUUUGAAUAUUAUUUUCUCUUUUAGGAAAUUGUAAAGGAUUUUAUUAACUGAGAAUGGGGAAAUAAGAGAUGCUUUCCAAGUGCUAAGUUAGGAAGUUUCAAAAGAGACAGAGUAAGCUAUUCGAUAAUGAGUUUGAAUAAACAGCUACUGGGAAAUAAACAAUGUGCUAUUAUCUAAGUAUCUUCAUCUAUUUCUUCCCCUCCUUCAAUACC